UCUCACUCGCUGUCUCUAUCUCUCCCUAUACAUCCAUCUCUCUCUUUUUUUCCCUUUCGCUUUCUCUCUCGAGCGCUGUCAUCACCAUGAGACGCGUAAUCAAUCCUGAUGCCAAUUUUGAAGAGGGCAAACAGAUGGCUCUCGAGAUAGACCUCGAUGCUUGCUUUGAAGAUUACCGUAGGGAAUUGGAGGAGCGCAGAAGUGCUGCCCCACCAGCACCUAAAAGGGGUAGGCGAGGCAAGGGGGCAGGCAACCCAAGGGGCAGACGUGGAGGGCGCCCCAAAGGUCAGCUGCAGUGGUUCCCUUAGAGACUGACCAUAUUGCUGAAGAGCCUCAGUCUGUGGACCCUCAAGUGGAAUUUGAAAGAAACAUGGAACUCUUGGAGGCUUUGGAUGCGCCUGGGAUGACCACGGCUUCAUCUUCCUCUUCCACUUCCUGGACUCUUAGGCAGCAAAAGGCUGCACAAAGAUGGAAAGAGGCAAGGCCUUUCCAUCUGCAGUGUCUCCUGCAGACCCAUAAUGUGGGCCAUCCUUUGUGCAGCCAUUGCAACGAGGCUGCUG